UGCAUCCGUGAUAAAAAUUUGGCUCCCUCUGCUGAGACAAAUGAAGAUAAUGGCCUUAACUGUCACCCAAAUCUUCUGAGAUGUU
ensembl:snoRNA